AGAAUUCAAUUGAAUUCUCACACAUUCAUACUUGAUUUCUAUUCAUUUUAAAAUAAUCUUUUCAAAGUUAAAAAGAAUUGAAUUUUUUAGUUCCAAACAUGAGAAUUAAUUGACCAAAAAGAUAUCAAUUGAAUUGAAUUCUUACAAAAUCCAAACAGGGGGUUUGAGAUGGGAAUUUACGUUCUUGACUGUUGAUUCUAUAAAACUGAAACAUCCAACCUUAGCAAAGUCAAACUAUCAUAUAAAUCUUAGUAAUAGGAUGCAACUCUUCUCUACGGUCAGAAAGCAACAAUUAAAUUAAAAUUCUAAAUUUUGCUUCAUACCGGGCAUAAAAUCACUCCCUUAUCAAAUAAAACCUAAAAGGAAGAAAGUUUCAAGAUCACUAUCCCGAUUAAGAAUGAAGUGAACCCCAUUAACCUGAAAAGCUCAUAAUUUCUACUUUCAUUUUGCUUUUCUCACAUGUUCUUGGAAACCAAACGAAGGAU
rnacentral:misc_RNA from 1 species